rnacentral:tRNA from 1 species
UGCGCGUGUGGCGGAAUUGGCAGACGCACUAGACUUAGGAUCUAGCGUCUUACGACGUGGGGGUUCAAGUCCCUCCACGCGCAUCC